CGGGCGGGGCGGGGGCACGGGGGGGCACAAGCGGUGGAGCAUGUGGUUUAAUUCGAUGCAACGCGAAGAACCUUACCUGGCCUUGACAUACUAGAAACUUUCCAGAGAUGGAUUGGUGCCUUCGGGAAUCUAGAUACAGGUGCUGCAUGGCUGUCGUCAGCUCGUGUCGUGAGAUGUUGGGUUAAGUCCCGCAACGAGCGCAACCCUUUUCCUUACUUGCCAGCAUUUCGGAUGGGAACUUUAAGGAUACUGCCAGUGACAAACUGGAGGAAGGCGGGGACGACGUCAAGUCAUCAUGGCCCUUACGGCCAGGGCUACACACGUGCUACAAUGGUCGGUACAAAGGGUUGCUACCUAGCGAUAGGAUGCUAAUCUCAAAAAGCCGAUCGUAGUCCGGAUUGGAGUCUGCAACUCG
rnacentral:rRNA from 1 species